rnacentral:rRNA from 1 species
UACGGGGGGGGCAAGCGUUGUUCGGAAUUACUGGGCGUAAAGGGCUCGUAGGCGGCCAACUAAGUCACACGUGAAAUCCCUCGGCUCAACCGGGGAACUGCGUGUGAGACUGGAUGGCUUGAGUUUGGGAGAGGAAUGCGGAAUUCCAGGUGUAGCGGUGAAAUGCGUAGAUAUCUGGAGGAACGCCUGUGGCGAAAGCGGAGCACUGGGCCCGUCCUGACGCUAAGACGCGAAAGCGUGGGUAGCAAACGGG